UGUGCAGGCGCCUCCUCGGGCCGCGGGUAUUUUUGGCGGCGGUCUGCGCCCAGCCCAGCGGCCCCGCCAGCUCCGGCUCCCCCGCGGCAGCGAUGCGAUCGGGCAUCACUCGAAAAUGGCGCCGAAAGCGCAGGGCUCUUCAUUCAAAUUCGUUAGAGCCAGCCCCGCUGCCCCGGGGCAUGCCGGGAACGGGGGGGGGGAGUGAGGGGGGAGCCGCUCGCGCUGAGGCAGCGCUACGGACCCGGCGCUGCUGUCAAUAGCACCCCUCCCCCUCCCCACUGGCGCGCGCUCCACCCCCUCCCGGCUAGCGCGCGCUCCCGCACUAGCAACCCAACCGCCACUCAUGAGGGGGAGGGGGGAAUGUCACCCAGAGCCCCAGACCCUGGGGAGAGAGACAGUCAUUCACCAUCAGCCCCAUGGACUUGUCAAGAUUACUUUCAGGGGGCAGUGGUACAGCAGACUUCUCCACAGUGCCCUGCCAAUGAGCUUCAACCCUGAACUGAAGAGAAAACAUUUAACGGUCUGGGGAGAGGCUAAGUGGGAGUGGAAGAGAAGCAGGAAGUUACAGAGAAAGGGGUGAAGUGCAGUGCAUUCUAUAGGCCUGUUGCCUGUUAACUGCAGUCUUGGUGAAUAUCAAAAAAAGGUGUGUGAAGGAGCUUUCAUUAUUGUCAUUUCCACAUAAGCCCAGAUCCUGCAGUUGACUGUGUGUGUGGGUGGGACUCUAUUAAAGUCAAUGAGGCUCCACACUGGGGAUGGGUUCUACCUGUGAGAAGUCAGUUGCAUGAUCAGGGCCCUAGUGCGACGCCUCAGGGUGCAUUCCGGAGCCUGCUUACCAAGAUAAUUUUAUGAACAUCCUUCUUGAAUUGUGGACACCAGAACUAUACACACUAUUCCAGCAAUGUUUUCGUCGGUGCCAAAUACAGAGACAAACUUCCCAAGGAGCACCAUGAGGAGCUGAAAUCCAUCAUGGAAGAUGGAUAACUGCCUGCCUGCACUUCUCUAUAGGCUGCCCUGGAUAUGUCUGACACCACGGUCACUGCAAGAAUCAUGGGGAGAUCACUAUGGCUUCAGUUCUCAAGGAUCCCAGGGAAGUCCAAACAACAAUCAAGGACCUCCCAUUUGAAGGUCACCUUUGUCUACAGUGCUGAUACAUAUAAUAAUGUUUUAUGGCUCUCAUAAGCACAAAGCAUGCAAACUCUAUGUCUAAGGUACUCUGAAAUUGCACGGACUUACUGCCAACCACUGUAAAGUCAUGGCUAUCACUGAACCUUGCUAGAGCCUGGAGCUGAUGCAUAAGGGCUCAAGUAUAUGACUUUCAUUAUAUGUCAUGGGUUUGUAAUUUUUUUUGCACAACCAUACUGUUAAAUAAUAAUAAUUCC